GAGAGGUCCCUUCCCUCAGUCGUUUAGCUAUUUAAAUGUCAUCUCAUCAGACGGUUAAAACUAUUCUGAACAUUCUGGUGCUAAACGGAAUGAGGGUAGUUAUUCCUCUCAU
rnacentral:pre_miRNA from 1 species